rnacentral:rRNA from 1 species
UGGGGAAUAUUGGACAAUGGGCGAAAGCCUGAUCCAGCCAUGUCGCGUGUGUGAAGAAGGUCUACGGAUUGUAAAGCACUUUAAGUUGGGAGGAAGGGCAGUAAGCGAAUACCUUGCUGUUUUGACGUUACCGACAGAAUAAGCACCGGCUAACUCUGUGCCAGCAGCCGCGGUAAUACAGAGGGUGCAAGCGUUAAUCGGAAUUACUGGGCGUAAAGCGCGCGUAGGUGGUUCGUUAAGUUGAAUGUGAAAGCCCCGGGCUCAACCUGGGAACUGCAUCCAAAACUGGCGAGCUAGAGUAGGGCAGAGGGUGGUGGAAUUUCCUGUGUAGCGGUGAAAUGCGUAGAUAUAGGAAGGAACACCAGUGGCGAAGGCGACCACCUGGGCUCAUACUGACACUGAGGUGCGAAAGCGUGGGGAGCAAACAGG